rnacentral:rRNA from 1 species
AAGCGGAGGAAAAGAAACUAACAAGGAUUCCCCUAGUAACGGCGAGUGAAGCGGGAAGAGCUCAAAUUUGUAAUCUGGCCCUUUCAGGGUCCGAGUUGUAAUCUCGAGAAGUGUUUUCCGCGCCGGACUGCAUACAAGUCUGUUGGAAUACAGCGUCAUAGUGGUGAGAGCCCCGUAACUGAUGCAGAUGCCCGGUGCUUUGUGAUACACUUUCGAAGAGUCGAGUUGUUUGGGAAUGCAGCUCAAAUUGGGUGGUAAAUUCCAUCUAAAGCUAAAUAUUGGCGAGAGACCGAUAGCGAACAAGUACCGUGAGGGAAAGAUGAAAAGCACUUUGGAAAGAGAGUUAACAGUACGUGAAAUUGUUGGAAGGGAAACGCUUGAAGUCAGACUUGCUAUUCGGAAUUCAGCCGCAAGGUGUACUUUUCGAUUUGCAGGCCAGCAUCAGUUUUUGGGGGUGGAAAAGGGUGGAGAGAAGGUAGCAACCUCGGUUGUGUUAUAGCUCUUUACUGGAUUCAUCUUUGGGGACUGAGGAUCGCAGUGCGCAAUUCAUUUUGCAAACCUUUCGAGGUUUUCGUACUUAGGAUGCUGGUGGAAUGGCUUUAAACGACCCGUCUUGAAACACGGAACCAACCU